GGCGGACGGGUGAGUAACGCGUGAGGAACCUGCCUUUCAGUGGGGGACAACAGUUGGAAACGACUGCUAAUACCGCAUAAUGCAUUCUGACCGCAUGAUCGGAAUACCAAAGAUUUAUUGCUGAAAGAUGGCCUCGCGUCUGAUUAGAUAGUUGGUGAGGUAACGGCCCACCAAGUCGACGAUCAGUAGCCGGACUGAGAGGUUGAACGGCCACAUUGGGACUGAGAUACGGCCCAGACUCCUACGGGAGGCAGCAGUGGGGAAUAUUGGGCAAUGGGGGAAACCCUGACCCAGCAACGCCGCGUGAAGGAAGAAGGCUUUCGGGUUGUAAACUUCUUUUACCAGGGACGAAGGACGUGACGGUACCUGGAGAAAAAGCCACGGCUAACUACGUGCCAGCAGCCGCGGUAAUACGUAGGUGGCAAGCGUUGUCCGGAUUUACUGGGUGUAAAGGGCGUGUAGGCGGAGAAGCAAGUCAGAAGUGAAAUCCAUGGGCUUAACCCAUGAACUGCUUUUGAAACUGUUUCCCUUGAGUAUCGGAGAGGCAGGCGGAAUUCCUAGUGUAGCGGUGAAAUGCGUAGAUAUUAGGAGGAACAC
rnacentral:rRNA from 1 species